UAAGGAGUGUGUAACAACCCACCUGCCGAAUCAACUAGCCCUGAAAAUUGAUGGCGCUUAAGCGUCGUACCUAUACUCCGCCGUUGGCGCAAAUGCGAGGCGCCAACGAGUAGGUGGGCGUGGGGGUGGUGACGAAGCUUUGGGCGUAAGCCUGAGUUGAACCGCCUCUGGUGCAGAUCUUGGUGGUAGUAGCAAAUAUUCAAA
rnacentral:rRNA from 12 species